rnacentral:lncRNA from 1 species
CUGCGGUGGAAGGCAGUUUCAUUCUGGAGGGGAAAAUUUGCCAAAAUCGGUAAGAAGAGUUCUGGAGUGAGCUGGGAAGCGCCCCCACCCCAGCUUGCCCCGGGACGAUUCGAAGAUGUUUCAUUUCUGGCUGGAGAGUGCACGCGUGCACAGAGCACCGCCUGCUUCUGAGGCCUGCGUUGACUGGGUUUUCGCUGGCAGAGGUGCGCCGGGCUGCGGUAACUGCCUGCCUCGGUCGGUCAGGCCGCUCUGCAGGGUGGUGAGCGUUGCAUCCCGAAGAUCUUCUCAGAGUUCUGCGGCUCGGAGAUCCGAGAAACACAGGGCCGGAGCCCACAGGCAAGCCCGGGCUGGAGGCCUUGUCGCUGAAGUCGCUGCGGAGCCUCCCCUCAGAGGCUCUGUCCUCUGUGAUGACGUCCUGCUGAGGGCUGAUGACCACACUGAGGACCAAGCCUGCAGCACGGGAGUCUCUGGGGAACAAGCCUGAGCCACACCAGUCCUGGGCAGCGACCUGUCAAUACCUUCACCUCGUUACGUCCAUGAGAAGUAAGUCAUCAAGUUCAUGUGAAGGAGGAGACGCCUCCCCCCUCCCAGAUGGGAGGAGUAUCAAAGGGUUUGUGAGUGCCUUCCACUGUGUGACUUACGGUGGCCUAAGAAGUUUGACUUUUUUACUGGGAUUAAAAUUGGGAGACAUCAUGUGGUUCUAAUUGGAGGAGGGAUAUUCAAAUGACCAGAUUCAAGGCAGACUUUUUCAAAUGUGUGGCAUUAAGCACAGUCUGCCAAGUGUUAGGAGGUAAGAAGCGUUUGUUCACAUCACCAGCAACCAAGAGGAGACUCUCAGAAGCAGCAAGAGAAAAAUCUGAUUAUGUGGAAAAAUAAAACAUUUAUAUGGUAAAAUCCUACAACACCUAAUAGAUAAGAGACAGCUUGGUGAAAUAUUUGCAGUGAAGAUAAAGGCAAAUCUCAGUAAUAUAUAAAGAGCUCAUCUGAUCUGACAAGGAGGCGACCAUGCUCUCAGACAGAUCCAUGAAGGGCGUUGCUGCAGUGGCUGUGUGUGCUGGGACAGGCACAGCUGUGGUGCCUCAGAGGUGGAGGGGCUGAUGUCUGUUUCUGGAACAGGUCCGGGGGCUUUGUCUGUGCCCACCUGGCCUCUUCCUCCCCGGCCACACCUGCUGCACAUUUGGCUACAGGAAAAGGGAAAAAAGAGCU